UGUGUGUGUGUGUGUGUGUGUGUGUGUGUGUGUGUGUGUGUGUGUGUAUGUGUGUGUAUACACACACACACACACACACACACACACACACACAUAUAUAUAUAGUAUAUAUAUAUAUAUAUAUAUAUAUAUAUAUAUAUAUAUAUAUAUAUAUAUACAUAU
rnacentral:snoRNA from 1 species